AGGAGCCUGGUCUGGAGGCAGGAGGAUUGCGGCAGUGACUUCUCAGGUCUACUGUGGGCUUGGGCAGAUCUGAAGGAUGCAGGGAGAGCAGAGCCGGAAUCGGAAUGUGAGCGGCUCGCCAGUAGGUUUUCCUAUUUUUCUGGGCACAAGGCUCAGCUCCUCCUGGCACUAGUCCUCGCUGGGGCCCUGACUCCAGCUUGUUAGUUUUAACAGGAGCAAUUUCCUUUGAACUCAGUUUGAAUUAGCAUCACCAUGGCGAUGGAUGGGGUUUUCACAAGUCGACCUGGUCUUCACCUCUCAAGCAAUUAGUUCUCAGGAGAAAAGGAGGAGGAGAAGGAAAAGGAGGAAGAAAAAUAAAGGGUCUGGGAAGAAAACAGGAAAGGGGGAAGGGGAGGAGGGGAAAAGGAAGAAGAAAAGUAAUAGCUUUGGGGCAAGUGGAAGAUGAGAAGACGGAAUUCCCGUGACUACAGGAAGGCUGGAGAGGAGACGAGAGGAAGCGGGUGACGAGAGAGAGAUUCAGACUAAAGGAAGAAGAUUGCAUCCCAUCAGGCUAAGCCAGGGACCUGGAUACCCCAAGGCCUUCCCUUCCCACCCGCUCCCUGUGCACCACCUACCGGGAGAAGCACGGGAGAGCUGGGGAUCCCUCCUGCAGCAGCAAGAAAAGCACUGUUUUAACUCUCUCUAGAGGGAAAAUGACAUUGGAGAUUCAACCAGCACUGCAGCAAAUCUGAUGACUUCUAUUUUUUUUCCUUUUGCCUGCCGCCCAGCCCACGCACAGUCCCCCUCCAGGCAGGAUGCCUACCUUCAGCCCUUACCUGGGAUCAGGUAAGAGACAAGAGAAGGAUCUUACCAGGUACAGUGACACACAUCUGUGCGACCAGCUACUUAGGCUGUUGAGGCAGAAGGAUCACAAAUUUGAGGUCAGCCUGAGCAAUGUAGUGAGACUUUGUCUCUAAAUAAAAAGAGCCGGGAUGUAGCUCAGUGGUAGGGUGCACCUGGGCUCAAUAUAAAAGAGAAGGGAAAAGAAAACAAAAAAAAAGGGAAAGGGACUAAUGGCAGUGCUGGCUUCUCCCUCAGUUUGAGGUGGGGGAGGUAAAGGGAAGGGGUGGCUGUGUGCGAGGUGGCCCGUCCCAUCAGAGACCCAUGGGACAGAUUCCACAUGCCUCCGUGGGGUCGCUGCUGGCCUGCCUGUCAGCUUUCUCAGUUCCUUGGAGCUUCGUGAAGAUAGUGACUAGGUCUGCAUUGUUGUUGAAUUCCCAGGCUCUAGCACAGUGUCUGGUGCGUGUCACACAAGCCGUAGGCAUUUUCCAGGUGAAUCAGUGAGUGGAUUAACAAUGACUACUUCCCCAGAAGGAAUAUAACAACACUCUCAGAGUGAAGAAGAGGGGAACAGCCAAUCAGAAGCCAUGAGAAUUUAACGGAGAGAGGAUUUCUAUUGGAGACUCAGUCCAUGCCCUCCUCCAGGAAACCCUCCUGAGUGAGCCACUCCCCUCAUGCCCCUCCCCAGCUCUCCAUAGACCCUCCAUGGUCUGCAGCUCCGGAAGUCACCCCUGUCACCAUGCACUGUGAUUGCUGAUUUGUUCCCACACCUCCCCAGCUAAGUGGGCCCUCAUGGGAGCAGGGACUGUGUCUGAUUGCCAGUUCUUUGCAAUCUCUGUGCAGUGUUCAUGCAUGAAGGCACCUGAGCCCAGCAUAGGGGCAGGUCUCUGGCUCUCCCAGGCCAGUGGAGGCAGCCCCAGGGAAACAAAUGUGUAAACCAUGCAACACGGCGUGCCCAGGGGAAAACAGGCUGCAAGAGGGUGAGGCAUGGGGGCUGCAGAGAGCCAACGUAUGUCUGUUCUGUCCAGAGCAAGAAGAGGUGUCCCCGAUCACCACUCAAUGCUCUGUCUGUUGAGAAUGUGCAGCCUCCUCACAGGGAGCCUGCUGGUUGCAGGAAGGUUUGCAGACAGAAGAAAGACGAAGCAUCCUGCCUCCCACACAGACUCUGAGGAAGGACCUCGGCUUGGAAAAUGUCACUGUCAUAAUACUAGCAUGCUCCCUUUUGGUGUCUUUGUGAUUCCCUCCUGUCUCUCUGAGUCAUGUCACACUCACCCCACACACUCCCAGCAACGUGAAAAGCCAAGAGAGAGGGCUGAGGGUUCAGCUCCAGCCCCUACUGCUCCUGGCCAGGCUGGCAUCGUGUCAGAUUUUAGCAAGUUACACGCUGUUUUGAGGUCUCUGGUUCCCCAUCUGUGAAGUGUGCAUAAUGAUAGCCCCGGCCUGCUUUUCUUUAAAAAGGGAAUAAAACAAAACAAAACAAUAAAGCUAAUCAGAACAGACCAAUGAAGAUGAUACAGGACUUCAAAACAAGAUAAUAGGGAAUCAACAAUGGCUAUCAUAAUGUCUCUUGUUUUCUUCAAAAUAGCUGCCCAUAUCAUCAGACAUAAUAAAAUCAAAACAAAAGAAUGAAAGCAUAUUUUAAAGAAAAUAAAACCAAACCAAAUAAAACAGAACAGUCAUUUAAAACAAAACAGUGAAAAUGAUAUAGGAUUUCAAACAGGAUAAUAGGAAAUCAACAGUGGCUACCAUAAUGUCUCUUAUUAUCUUCAAAAUUGCUGCCCGUACCAUCAGACAUAAUAAAAUCAAACAAAACAGAACAGAAUCAAGCCAAUCCAAACAGAACAUUGAAUAAAACAAAACAAUAAAAUGGAACAAAACAAAACAGUGAGAACAAUGUUGGAUUUCAAAAAGAAGACAGAAGGAAAAAUCCCAUAUUUGUUGUAAUGUUAUCCUCUUAAUAGAUGCUCAGAAUACUGGUUUCAAGCCUGCAAAGUCAAUCAAACAAUACCAGCAUUAAGUCGUUUGAUACGUCAGUUGCUAGGAACUCAGCCUGUGCUCCGAAUCAGGCAGUUGCUGGGGGUGAGGGGACAGUGUUCUUGUCUCCUAGCCCACAUGCUGGUUGGCUCACGGGAAGGGUAAACUGGCUUCUUGUUACUCCCCUCAGAUCCAGGAAGACUGACAGGGCUUGGUUCUCCUCCUGGGCCAUGCAUGGAUUCCGCCAGCUCUUGGGAAGUGUGAACUGGCUUCUUAUUAUUCCUCCCAGGCCCAGUACGGCUUGUACCUGGUCUGCUUUUUUAAUGAAACUGAGACACAAAAUCAUAAGGAACCCUGCUGCAAAGCUGCCGUGCAUCAAAUAAGAGGUGAGAAUGUUUUGAAGACUCCAGUGGAGUUUUAAAGUGUUCCUAUAUGAGUUAGAAAAUUCCACAAUUGUCCACUGAGGAGAGACCGAAAGCUAAGGAGAGCGAGGUGGGUACAGGUUGGAAAGAAGGGGUGGGAAGCGCCCUGGGAAGACAGUCUGGGCAGCCAGUCUGGUGCUAGGCCAGAGGGACAGCCCCAAGAGGACUGGGAAGGCCAGGGAGAUAGAAAAUUCCUUAGGCUUGGAGGCCACUCUGGGGCAGCCUGUGUGAGGAUGGAGUGUUUUGAAGAGCAGCACCCAGCUGCCCUGGAGCCUGGGAGAAUCCUGGCCUGGACUGAGAAGUGGGGGUUUGGGAUCCAUUUCUGGAGAAGCCAGGGAGAAAGGACGCCCCAUGUGAGCCUGGAAGGGCCUGGCAAAGCAAGCCCUGUCGUUUCCCCCUCUAACACCUCCGCUCCUCAGCCUCAGCCCCCCACCCCUGGGCAUCCUACAGCAACCCUAAAAGUGGGCCCCCGGGCCCCUUUUGCUUCCCUUCUCUCUCCACAUCCCCCACCCCAGCCCCCUCUGCUCCCCUGAGGAGUGAAUCCAGAUCCUGAACUGGAAGCUUCUUCACAGGAAUCUGGGGGGCCUGGGGCUGAGGGAGGAAGAAGAGGCCUGAAGGAGAGUGGCGCAGGAGGGGUCACCAGUGGGGACCGACAUGGGAGGCUCAUGAGUUCCUGGUGGGAGAGGGGAAAGCUGAAGAACUGAGUGUCACAGAAACUGUGAAACUCUCAGAAAGAUGUGGGGUGCAGAAACAGAAGAAGAAUCCAGUGAGACUGGGGAAACCUACAGAGGGCACAUGGAGCACCUCUGCCUGGGAAGGGCAUGAUGGGAAGAUCGGGGACCUUCCCAGGCUGGGGAGUACCCAGGUCUCCCAGGGGAGGGCAGGCCUUGCCUGAGGUUGGGUGAUGGGGCCCUGACUGGCUUGAGAUGUGAUUCUGUAGGUGGCUGGCAGUGAAUCACGCCUUUUUGUGUGUCGCAUGUUUCUGUGUGGGCGUGCUGAGUCAGUGUGUGCUGUCUUGCAAGUCUGAGGCUGUGGGUGUUACUUGUGGGUGACAAAUCCAAGAGUGCUGUCCCCAUGCGCCACAAGGGGCCCCCAGAACCGGAGGAGCCAUGCUUGUGUGAGCCGGUAUAGUCACACCGUCCCUUCUCUGUGCCACGUGGUUCUGACUGUGCCUCCACAUGGCCUGCUGCAAUCAGGGGUGUGUCUGCAUGUGUGAGUGUGUGCACACAAGGAUGGCCACCUGUAGAGACAGGAGCCAGCUCUGCCGUGACGAUCCUGCAUAGAUGGCUGGGCACCUCUGAGAAGGCAGAAGCGAUGGUCAGGCAGCUCCCAGCUCCAGCGAAAUCCAGGUCCUGGGUUUCCAGCUGUCCCCACUAAACUGGGCACAGAUGUGUGAGGCUUUGCUGCAGCCAUAAACAGACCUCCCAGGAUUUUUCCAGAGGAAAUGCAGAAAUAUUCUGGUGUCUGCUCUGGGCAGGAAGAAAGAGAGUGGGGCUGGGACUGCAAACCCGAGAGCCCCUCAAAGGCCAGCAGAGGGGGAAGGGCUUUGAUGGCUUCCAGCUGUGGAGGCCUCAGGAGGCCCAGCCUGCAGCUGUGAGAGGGCAGGCCCAGCUGCCAGGGACACCAGGCCCCUGGGGCCCAGGCUACCCCUGCUCCACUCUGCCCUGGGCCCCUGCAUACCUCAGGACACACGGACAUCACCGUGACCCUGCCCCCCCCCCACACACACAGGGCACACACUACGCAGACCGCCAGCCCCACCGCCGCCUCACCAUCACGUAGACACACACUUGCUCCCUCACAUCCUGUGCCCACAGCUCACAGCCGCAAUCACAGACACCCCACACACCCUCAUGAAAAUCACCAGCCUUCCCACAAGUACCAGGAUCCCACACGGCGGUCCCCACACCCCAUCAAAGUACAGAUCCCAGGACGCCCCCACCCUGCCUACACCCUUCCAGGCCUUUCUAAGCCACAGAAUAGGCAUGGUGUUGUUCUCAGCCCCAUGUCAAAGCAAACUGAUUAGAAGUCCAGAAGAACUGGACACAUUCCUAGCCUAGAUCACCUAAGUGACUUUGGCUGCCAUCACCGCCUCACCUGGAGCCGGAAGAUGGAUUCUCCAGUUGAACUGCAACACCCUCGCCUCCACCCUCACCAGGGAUAGAAGCAGCUCUGUCUUCAGCAAAUGACCCUGGGGCUCAGCCCUGGUGGCGCUCUGCCCCUGGUGUACUCACUGAGCAGCUGGUCUGUGCCAGCCAGGCAUGUGCCAGGCCAGAAGGCGGCUUGGGCCGGAAGAAAUGCUUGCUACACCUUCAGAGCCCCCAGCUCAGCAGCAGGGAUGGGGCUAACCUGCUCCAGGAGCCACUCCAUGCCCUUCAAGGAAAGGGGGCGACAUACUGUGGGGCCGAGCCACAGUGAGAACACUCAGGCCCGGAAAUGAGAUGGGAGGGCCCCUAGGGGAGGUGACUUGUGGCAGGCCUGAGCAGUGGGCAGCAUUUGUCCGUGCAGGUCAUGGGGGACAGUGAAGAAGUGGACCGCACUGCUGGCCUCCAGAACACAAAAGCCCAUCACCCCGUUUUGCUGUAUUCCAGUAAUCUCACUUUAUUUUGUUUGCGUGAAUAUCUGUUUUUAUCUGUCUCCAUCUCUAGAAUGUAAAUUAAAUGACAGCAAAGCCCUCAAA